rnacentral:snRNA from 1 species
CAGUGAUCUCAGCUCUUUUAGAAUUUGUCCAGCAAGUUUCCCGCGCUCGCGGGAAGCCGCU